ACGAGCGGCGGAUGGGUGAGUAAUGUCUGGGGAUCUGCCUGAUGGAGGGGGAUAACUACUGGAAACGGUAGCUAAUACCGCAUAACGUCGCAGGACCAAAGUGGGGGACCUUCGGGCCUCAUGCCAUCAGAUGAACCCAGAUGGGAUUAGCUAGUAGGUGGGGUAAUGGCUCACCUAGGCGACGAUCCCUAGCUGGUCUGAGAGGAUGACCAGCCACACUGGAACUGAGACACGGUCCAGACUCCUACGGGAGGCAGCAGUGGGGAAUAUUGCACAAUGGGCGCAAGCCUGAUGCAGCCAUGCCGCGUGUAUGAAGAAGGCCUUCGGGUUGUAAAGUACUUUCAGUAGGGAGGAAGGUGUGAGCGUUAAUAGCGUUCACAAUUGACGUUA
rnacentral:rRNA from 1 species